CUUGGCCUGAAAUGUCAAAUUGCUAUUUUAAAAUAACUCUAUUGGAGAAUAUUGCCGCUUCUCACGGCAAGAGAUAGCUUAUAACGCUGUUACUGAACAAAUAUCACAUAGCGGUAAAGAAGUGACAACCACAUAGUUUUUCCAGACCCUUCUAACAAAUCUGUACUCACCAAUAGUGGAUCCGAUAGUUGAGGCCGGUGGACCACGGCGGGUGAUCUGCUGCGGCUCGGGCUCCCCUCCGAAGAUGUCAGUGUGUCCGCCACCAGGGGGGCGAAGCACCCGGCUGGACAGCCGCGUGUUGUCGUUCAGACCAACAUUGAAUGAUGUGGACGUCAUCCUUGCACUGGAAAAUAGGAAAAGACAUGG